UGUGCAGGCGACGGUGGAGGGCGCUGGGUGCUCGCAGGUGAAGCCCGGCCCCCUGCAGCUGUCCCCCCGUCGUGCCGCUGGGUGCUCGCAGAAAGAAGACACUGAUCGCAUAAAACUGAAGGUUAUGGAUGUAAACGGUCAAGUCGUCCGCUUCGAUAUCAACCAGCACACCUCCCUCGAGAAGGUCAUGAGAUUUUACUGUGCCAGGUCAAAGAUGGCUCAAUCUACAACGCGAUUCUUAUUUGAAGGGAAACAUGUAUCAGGAGAUGACACACCAAGAAGAUUGAACAUGGAAGAUGGUGACACCAUUCAAGUGUUUCAGCCGCUACCAUAACUGGAGGGCAUGCUUGACCACAAAAUGAGAUUGAACUCAGCAAAAUCUUUGGAUGAAAUGAAGCUAAAUUGUAACCCUGGUUUUAACCCUAAACCCUCCAGCACUCCUUGGGCCAAGUUGACAGCUUGAUGACUGCUAUACUGACAGUUUGUCUUUGUUGUGGCAGAGUCUUAGUUUCGAAUCAUAUCCUGCCAUAUAACCUUGACACUCAGUGUUGGAGAUAAUGAAGUACUUUAUCAUUCCUCCAAUACUGUUAUUGCGUUCUUGAUUAAAAUCUUCCUUCAAAGUAAGUUUGUGAAAAUGUGCCCAUUAUCAGUCGUUUCGUCUUAUAGUUUUUUCUGAAACAAAUGUACCCAUGGCUCAUUUAGUGGCUUUGAAAAUAUUUGUGGCUUACACACCCCCGGCUUCAAGGAUAUUGUUUUUGAGGAUUAGGAUAUUGAAAUAUGCAAUGAGGAUAUUUUUUGAUGAGGAUAUUUGAUAUAUGCAAGGGAUUUUGAUGUUCAUAACUAUUCAUGAGGUGUUUGAAUCAUGAUUAUUAAAUGUUCUACUGCCAAA